rnacentral:sRNA from 1 species
AGAGAGAAGAGGAAGAAGAAGAAGAAAA